UACGGAGGGAGCUAGCGUUAUUCGGAAUUACUGGGCGUAAAGCGCACGUAGGCGGCUUUGUAAGUAAGAGGUGAAAGCCUGGAGCUCAACUCCAGAACUGCCUUUUAGACUGCAUCGCUUGAAUCCAGGAGAGGUGAGUGGAAUUCCGAGUGUAGAGGUGAAAUUCGUAGAUAUUCGGAAGAACACCAGUGGCGAAGGCGACUCACUGGACACAUAUUGACGCUGAGGUGCGAAAGCGUGGGGAGCAAACAGGAGUUAGA
rnacentral:rRNA from 1 species